rnacentral:rRNA from 1 species
AUUGAACGCUGGCGGCAGGCCUAACACAUGCAAGUCGAGCGAGAAAGCACUUCGGUGUGAGUAGAGCGGCGGACGGGUGAGUAACGCGUAGGAAUUUGCCCAGUAGUGGGGGAUAGCCCGGUGAAAACCGGUAAUACCGCAUAAGACCUAAGGGUGAAAAGGGGCCAAUUCAUGAAAGCUCUUGCCGGAAGAUGAACCUGCGUUAGAUUAGCUUGUUGGUAGGGUAAUGGCCUACCAAGGCGACGAUCUAUAGCUGGUCUGAGAGGAUGAUCAGCCACACUGGAACUGAGACACGGUCCAGACUCCUACGGGAGGCAGCAGUGGGGAAUAUUGGACAAUGGGCGAAAGCCUGAUCCAGCAAUACCGCGUGUAUGAAGAAGGCUCUAGGGUCGUAAAGUACUUUCAGUAGGGAGGAAAGGUUAUAGAUUAAUACUCUAUGGCUGUGACGUUACCUACAGAAGAAGCACCGGCUAACUCCGUGCCAGCAGCCGCGGUAAUACGGAGGGUGCAAGCGUUAAUCGGAAUUACUGGGCGUAAAGCGCGCGUAGGCGGAUGAUUAAGUCUCAUGUGAAAGCCCUGGGCUCAACCUGGGAACUGCAUGGGAUACUGGUCGUCUAGAAUACAGUAGAGGGUAGUGGAAUUUCAGGUGUAGCGGUGAAAUGCGUAGAGAUCUGAAGGAACAUCAGUGGCGAAGGCGACUACCUGGACUGAUAUUGACGCUGAGGUGCGAAAGCGUGGGGAGCAAACGGGAUUAGAUACCCCGGUAGUCCACGCCGUAAACGAUGUCUACUAGCCGUUGGGAGACUUGAUCUCUUAGUGGCGCAGCUAACGCAAUAAGUAGACCGCCUGGGGAGUACGGUCGCAAGAUUAAAACUCAAAUGAAUUGACGGGGGCCCGCACAAGCGGUGGAGCAUGUGGUUUAAUUCGAUGCAACGCGAAGAACCUUACCAAGACUUGACAUCCUAGAAAUUUAGCAGAGAUGCUUUAGUGCCUUCGGGAAUCUAGUGACAGGUGCUGCAUGGCUGUCGUCAGCUCGUGUUGUGAAAUGUUGGGUUAAGUCCCGUAACGAGCGCAACCCUUGUCCUUAGUUGCUAACAGUUUGGCUGAGAACUCUAAGGAGACUGCCGGUGACAAACCGGAGGAAGGUGGGGACGACGUCAAGUCAUCAUGGCCCUUACGUCUUGGGCUACACACGUGCUACAAUGGCCGGUACAAAGGGUUGCCAAGCCGCGAGGUGGAGCUAAUCUCAUAAAACCGGUCGUAGUCCGGAUCGGAGUCUGCAACUCGACUCCGUGAAGUCGGAAUCGCUAGUAAUCGUAGAUCAGAAUGCUACGGUGAAUACGUUCCCGGGCCUUGUACACACCGCCCGUCACACCAUGGGAGUGGGUUGCUCCAGAAGUAGCUAGUUUAACCUUCGGGAUGACGGUUACCACGGUGUGAUUCAUGACUGGGGUG